UCGCAGGGUGGCCGAGUAAAAGCGGUAAGCUGUAAACUUUCUAACAAGGUAUUAAAGCCUUUCUUGCGAG
rnacentral:tRNA from 1 species